GACGUAGGGGCGAGCGUUGUCCGGAAUUACUGGGCGUAAAGAGCACGUAGGCGGGAACUUAAGUCAGGUGUGAAAGACCGUGGCUCAACCACGGGUAUGCAUUUGAAACUGGGUUUCUUGAGGGCAGGAGAGGAAAGCAGAAUUCCUGGUGUAGCGGUGAAAUGCGUAGAAAUCAGGAGGAAUACCAGUGGCGAAGGCGGCUUUCUGGACUGACCCUGACGCUGAGGUGCGAAAGCGUGGGUAGCAAACAGGAUUAGAUACCCGGGUAGUCCCUGAGCGGG
rnacentral:rRNA from 1 species